UGAGUGGGGAGACUGAAGGAUGGAUGCUGCUGUGUUUAAACAGUCAGAAGAACGGAAUCACACUGAGUUUGGUUGGUGAGUGCCUGCAGUCAUUAUGCAUUUGAAUAACUUGUAGCCUGUGAUGACAAAAUCAAAUAACUUUUCUGACACCUACUAUGAGAGCUGUACUCCAGCUCCUGAUUCUAACUUCAUUCUGAGGCAGUUAUCAGUAUAUUAGUGCUUUCUUGCGUCCAUAAUUGUAGAUUUUCAAACCUUUUCUUUUCUGUUACAGGUAAUAAUAGGAAGACUCCAAAGUUCUGAUGCUGCUGUGUUUUCAGAUGGUCCUGAGAUCAAUCUCUUAUUGACCAGGACCUCACUGGGUAUGAGAGCUGGUCGCGUCAUGACUCCACAAAUAAAGAAGUAACUCUGGGAUCCUGCUGAUGUGAUCUAGUUUGUUUUUAAUGGUUCCUUAAAUCAAAAGCCUCAUUGGCCAGAAAACUUGCUCCCUGUGCCAAUGCAACAAACCUGAAUGGAAAAAAUGACUAUUUAAUACGCAGAAAGUAAUGGUGUUUUGUAUAACCAAGCUAUUGCAUCAAACUGUCAACUUGUUGAAUAAACAGUAAUUUGGUUAA